rnacentral:rRNA from 1 species
GGGCAGCAUGGUCUUAGCUUGCUAAGGCCGAUGGCGACCGGCGCACGGGUGAGUAACACGUAUCCAACCUGCCGUCUACUCUUGGACAGCCUUCUGAAAGGAAGAUUAAUACAAGAUGGCAUCAUGAGUUCACAUGUUCACAUGAUUAAAGGUAUUCCGGUAGACGAUGGGGAUGCGUUCCAUUAGAUAGUAGGCGGGGUAACGGCCCACCUAGUCUUCGAUGGAUAGGGGUUCUGAGAGGAAGGUCCCCCACAUUGGAACUGAGACACGGUCCAAACUCCUACGGGAGGCAGCAGUGAGGAAUAUUGGUCAAUGAGCGCAGGCCUGAACCAGCCAAGUAGCGUGAAGGAUGACUGCCCUAUGGGUUGUAAACUUCUUUUAUAAAGGAAUAAAGUCGGGUAUGUAUACCCGUUUGCAUGUACUUUAUGAAUAAGGAUCGGCUAACUCCGUGCCAGCAGCCGCGGUAAUACGGAGGAUCCGAGCGUUAUCCGGAUUUAUUGGGUUUAAAGGGAGCGUAGAUGGAUGUUUAAGUCAGUUGUGAAAGUUUGCGGCUCAACCGUAAAAUUGCAGUUGAUACUGGAUAUCUUGAGUGCAGUUGAGGCAGGCGGAAUUCGUGGUGUAGCGGUGAAAUGCUUAGAUAUCACGAAGAACU